AUUGAACGCUGGCGGCAGGCCUAACACAUGCAAGUCGAGCGGAUGAAGGGAGCUUGCUCCUGGAUUCAGCGGCGGACGGGUGAGUAAUGCCUAGGAAUCUGCCUGGUAGUGGGGGAUAACGUCCGGAAACGGGCGCUAAUACCGCAUACGUCCUGAGGGAGAAAGUGGGGGAUCUUCGGACCUCACGCUAUCAGAUGAGCCUAGGUCGGAUUAGCUAGUUGGUGGGGUAAAGGCCUACCUAGGCGACGAUCCGUGACUGGACUGAGAGGAUGAUCAGUCACACUGGAACUUGGACACGGUCCAUACUCCUGCGGGAGGCAGCAGUGGGGAAUGUUGGACAGUGGGCGAAAGCCUGAUCCAGCCAUGCCGCGUGUGUUAAGAAGGUCUUCGGAUUGUAAAGCACGUUAAGUUGGGAGGAAGGGCAGUAAGUUAAUACCUUGCUGUUUUGACGUUACCAACAGAAUAAGCACCGGCUAACUUCGUG
rnacentral:rRNA from 1 species